rnacentral:piRNA from 1 species
UACUUCAAGGCCUGUGGAAUGGAUGCUCUGU